UCGUAUAUAGUGAUAUCGCUGUGACAAUUUCUUCAUAUCGCAUUCAGCGCUCUCAGUGUACGGACGUGUCAGUUCUGUGAUCUGUGAAACAAAAUGUAUACUAAUCCGUUUGAAAGGAAGCACUCGUCGCUAAGACAAACAUUGGAUCGGAUUAUAGUGGAGACGAGGCAGAGCAUCAAGAAGAAAAUCAACCUGACGAAGAACAAAACUAGCGGUAGCACGUCUUCCAUGUCUUCGACCUCAAGUUUUGAGUUCAAGAUGAAAUACAACCAGAAAAGAUGAAGUUUUUAACAGCAAUCAGGAUACCAUUCAUAGGAAUUGAUUGUUCCACUCUCGGAAAAGAUCGAGUGUUAUUAAUUAAUCGGCAGUGACGUCAAACGAACCGGUAUUGGAGCACACUGCGGCAUUAGGAAAUUAAAAACAUAAUCAAAUACACAUUUUGUUGGACCUCUAA
rnacentral:lncRNA from 1 species